UACGUAGGGUGCGAGCGUUGUCCGGAAUUAUUGGGCGUAAAGAGCUUGUAGGCGGUUUGUCGCGUCUGCUGUGAAAAUCCGGGCGUCAACCCGGACCUUGCAGUGGGUACGGGCAGACUAGAGUGUGGAGGGGAGACUGGAAUUCCUGGUGUAGCGGUGAAAUGCGCAGAUAUCAGGAGGAACACCGAUGGCGAAGGCAGGUCUCUGGGCCACUACUGACGCUGAGAGCGAAA
rnacentral:rRNA from 1 species